ACCUGGGUGGCUCAGUCGGUUGAGCGUCCGACUUUGGCUCAGGUCACGAUCUCGUGGUCCGCGGGUUCAAGCCCCGCGUCGGGCU
rnacentral:tRNA from 1 species